rnacentral:lncRNA from 1 species
UACUGCAGCACCACUGCCAAGAAAGCAGCAUUGCAUAUGCGAUCUGAGGGGCGACCUGAAUGUUAAGGGGGAAAAAAAAUAACAAGUGCUGCCCGGCACUGCUAGACAGUUUCCUCUCAGCUCUCAGGACCCACCUCUUUACCAAACUGUGAACCCAAUCUCAGGGAAAGGAAUCAAGAGUAAUAUAAAUUUUGAAUGUAUUGAUAAUGGCAUUAUAACUUCAGGACCAGGUGAUUUUUUUUUUUUUUUUGGUUGUACCUACAAGAGUUUUCUUUAUGUGAACAUUGGUUGCUUCCCACCAGAUGGCUCCAGAAGUAAGUAUAUGCACUUUCAGAAUCCCUCCCACAGAGCAAGCCAAGGGCCCUGCCCAGUCCCUCCCUCUUGAGCCAUAAAGGACAGUAACACUUUUCAAAGACGGGGUUCACCUUGCAAGUAGACGAUUAAAGUAAAGCUAAGCCAGGUACACAGAACAUCAGCUCUGACUUAUUAAUGGCUGAGGGCAGUCAGCACAGCACUCAUUGAACUGUUGAUUGGAUGAGCAGUCCAUAUUCUGAACUACAGAUCAGAAGCCACAGGCAGGGACAAUAGCAAACAUCUCUUUGUGACAAACCUUUGCGGAAAAGUGGGGGUACACUGAAUAAAAGAUGGAAAGAAAUGGUUUAGUUAUAGUGGUUAUGUUGUAUAGUUGUAUAUCUGGAUUGUCUAAGACUUGGGAAAACAUGAGUCUAUGCAGGUUUAGAAUUCUGGGGUAAAUUCUGGAGGAAAAAUGGCAACAAAUCCUGUCUCCUGAAAAGGGUUAAAACCUGGGAAAGGCAUUAUGAUUUCAGAAGUCUAACCUGCUGGUGAAGAUGAAGUUUAAGAGUUAAAGUUAGGGGAAAUAAAAUUAGUACUACUAACCUAUUGUGUUGGUUGUCUUCU